UCUGGUGUCAGCCGCCGCGGUAAAACCAGCACCUCAAGUGGUCAGGAUGAUUAUUGGGCCUAAAGCAUCCGUAGCCUGUUCUGUAAGUUUCCGGUUAAAUCCAUUAGCUCAACUAAUGGGCUGCCGAAAAUACUGCAAAACUAGGGAGUGGGAGAGGUAGACGGUACUCGGUAGGAAGGGGUAAAAUCCUUUGAUCUAUUGAUGACCACCUGUGGCGAAGGCGGUCUACCAGAACACGUUCGACGGUGAGGGAUGAAAGCUGGGGGAGCAAACCGGAUUAGAUACCCGGGUAGUCCCAGCUGUAAACGAUGCAGACUCGGUGAUGCCCUGGCUUGUGGCCAGUGCAGUGCCGCAGGGAAGCCGUUAAGUUUGCCGCCUGGGAAGUACGUACGCAAGUAUGAAACUUAAAGGAAUUGGCGGGGGAGCACCACAAGGGGUGAAGCCUGCGGUUCAAUUGGAGUCAACGCCAGAAAUCUUACCCGAAGAGACAGCAGAAUGAAGGUCAAGCUGGAGACUUUACCAGACAAGCU
rnacentral:rRNA from 2 species